rnacentral:tRNA from 1 species
AAAUAAGAAUUAAUAUAUUAAAAUUAAUUUCGACUUAAUAAUAGGAGAUUUUCUCCCUUAUUUU